rnacentral:rRNA from 1 species
GACGAACGCUGGCGGCGUGCCUAAUACAUGCAAGUAGAACGCUGAAGGAGGAGCUUGCUUCUCUGGAUGAGUUGCGAACGGGUGAGUAACGCGUAGGUAACCUGCCUGGUAGCGGGGGAUAACUAUUGGAAACGAUAGCUAAUACCGCAUAAGAGUAGAUGUUGCAUGACAUUUGCUUAAAAGGUGCAAUUGCAUCACUACCAGAUGGACCUGCGUUGUAUUAGCUAGUUGGUGGGGUAACGGCUCACCAAGGCGACGAUACAUAGCCGACCUGAGAGGGUGAUCGGCCACACUGGGACUGAGACACGGCCCAGACUCCUACGGGGGGCAGCAGUAGGGAAUCGUCGGCAAUGGACGGAAGUCUGACCGAGCAACGCCGCGGGAGUGAAGAAGGUUGUCGGAUCGUAAAGCUCUGUUGUAAGAGAAGAACGAGUGUGAGAGUGGAAAGUUCACACUGUGACGGUAUCUUACCAGAAAGGGACGGCUAACUACGUG